CAGCCGCCGCGGUAAUACGAAGGGGGCGAGCGUUAUUCGGAAUCACUGGGCGUAAAGCGUGCGUAGGCGGUUCUAAAAGUUAGAAGUGAAAGCCCAGGGCUCAACCCUGGAAUUGCUUUUAAAACUAUAGGACUAGAAUUCGGGAGAGGAUAGCGGAAUUGUCAGUGUAGCAGUGAAAUGCGUAGAUAUUGACAGGAACACCAGUGGCGUAAGCGGCUAUCUGGACCGACAUUGACGCUGAGGCACGAAAGCGUGGGGAUCAAACAGGAUUAGAUACCCGGGUAGUCCCUGUCUCUUAUAC
rnacentral:rRNA from 1 species